AUCUUCUACAAUGGACGGCAGUCUGAUGGAGCAACGCCGCGUGAGCGAAGAAGGUUUUCGGAUCGUCAAGCUCUGUUGCAAGGGAAGAACAAGUAGUGUACUAACUGGCGUUCUAUUGACGGUACCUUGUUAGAAAACCGCGGAACACUACGUGCCAGCAGCCGCGGUAAUACGUAGGUGGCAAGCGUUGUCCUGAAUUAUUGGUCGUAAAGUGCGCGCAGGUGGGUUCAUAAGUCUAAUGUGAAAGCCCACCGCUCAACCGUAGAGGGUGAUUGGAAACGGGGAGACUUGAGUGCAGAGUAGGAUAGUGGAAUUCCAAGUGUAGCGGUGAAAUGCGUAGAGAUUUGGAGGCACACCAGUGGCAAAGGCGACGGUCUGGUCUGUAACAGACACUGCGGCGCGAGAGCGUGGGGAGCAAACA
rnacentral:rRNA from 1 species